GGGGAUUUAGCUCAGUGGUAGAGCGCUUGCCUAGCAUGCGUGAGGUCCUGGAUUCAAUCACCA
rnacentral:tRNA from 1 species